rnacentral:rRNA from 1 species
GCUUGGAAGCAGCCAUUCAUUUAAAGAGUGCGUAACAGCUCACUAGUCGAGGAGUUCUGCGUGGAUAAUAAUCGGGCAUAAGCCGUUUACCGAAGCUGUGGAAUUGGCAACAAUUGGUAGGGGAGCAUUCCAUGAGCCGCAGAAGGUGUUCCUUGAGGAAUGCUGGAGGUAAUGGAAAAGCAAAUGUAGGUAUAAGUAACGAUAAAGAGGGCGAGAACCCCUCUCGCCGAAAGACCAAGGGUUCCUGAUCAACGCUAAUCGGAUCAGGGUAAGUCGGGCCCUAAGGCGCAGCCGAACGGCGCAGCCGAUGGCAGAAACGGUUAAUAUUCCGUUACUAUGAUACGGAGUGACGAGGAGACGGAGAAGUGACACUCUCGCCUGCUGACGGAAUAGCAGGUUGAACGGAGUAGAUAAUGACAUGGCAGGCAAAUCCGCCGUGGCAGUCGAACCGGAUAGUACUGGGCGCCCCCGGGCAACCAGAUAGUAGAGGUAAUCAGGCUCCCGAGAAAAUCCCCUAAACAUAUGCGUAUCAUACCCGUACCCGAAACGGACACACGUGGUUGAGUAGAAAAUACUAAGGCGCUCGAGCGACUCACGGUUAAGGAACUAGGCAAAUUGACCCUGUAACUUCGGGACAAAGGGUCCCUCCCUGGUGGGAGGGCGCAGAGAAUAGGUCCAGGCAACUGUUUAACAAAAACACAGGGCUGUGCGAAAUUGAAAGAUGAAGUAUACAGCCUGACACCUGCCCGGUGCUGGAAGGUUAAGAGGAGAUGUCAUCGCAAGAGAAGCGUUGAAUUGAAGCCCCAGUAAACGGCGGCCGUAACUAUAACGGUCCUAAGGUAGCGAAAUUCCUUGUCGGGUAAGUUCCGACCUGCACGAAUGGUGUAAUGAUCUGGACACUGUCUCAACCGUGAACUCGGUGAAAUUGUAGUAUCGGUGAAGAUGCCGAUUACCCGCAACGGGACGGAAAGACCCCGUGAACCUUUACUGCAACUUAACAUUGAAUUUGGGUAACUGAUGUGUAGGAUAGUCCGGAGACAGAGAAGUGGAUACGCCAGUAUUCAUGGAGUCGUCCUUGAAAUACGGACCUUUGGUUAUUUGAGUUCUAACCCGUAUGAUAUGGGGACACUGUUUGGUGGGUAGUUUGACUGGGGUGGUCGCCUCCAAAAGCGUAACGGAGGCUUCUAAAGGUGCCCUCAGACCGAUUGGUAACCGGUCGCAGAGUGUAAUGGCAUAAGGGCGCUUGACUGGGAGACAUACAAGUCGAUCAGGUAGGAAACUAGAGCAUAGUGAUCCGGUGGUUCCGCAUGGAAGGGCCAUCGCUCAAAGGAUAAAAGGUACUCCGGGGAUAACAGGCUGAUCGCUCCCAAGAGCUCAUAUCGACGGAGCGGUUUGGCACCUCGAUGUCGGCUCGUCACAUCCUGGGGCUGGAGAAGGUCCCAAGGGUUGGGCUGUUCGCCCAUUAAAGUGGCACGCGAGCUGGGUUCAGAACGUCGUGAGACAGUUCGGUCCCUAUCUGUUGUGGGCGCAGGAAAUUUGAGGAGAACUGACACUAGUACGAGAGGACCGUGUUGGACAGACCGCUGGUUUAUCAGUUGUUCCGCCAGGGGCAUAGCUGAGUAUCUAAGUCUGGAAAGGAUAAGUGCUGAAAGCAUCUAAGUACGAAGCCAACUUCAAGAUUAGAUUUCCCUGAAGGGUCGUUGCAGACGACGACGUAGAUAGGUUGCAGAUGUAAAGGCGGUAACGUCAAAGUCGAGCAAUACUAAUCACCCGAGACUUUCCG